ensembl:lncRNA
UGAAGUAAUACUUAUUUUUCUUAAUUUUCAGGGAGUUUUUGGACUGUGAGCUAUUUCAGAACUCUGUUCUCAGGACCCAUUAUUUUAACAGUCAGGAGAAACACAUCCAGAAGGUGCACACUAGACCGAAGGGGAAUCUGAAGACUCCGAAUGACAGAGCUACUUUUCAACAGCCUUCUCCAUUUCCUUUCUCAGAAAACAGAGACAAACCUCAGAAACAGAUGGACAGUGAAGUCCUAUCCAUGAAGGCCACAGUGUCGUGCCCGGGGAAGCCACCGCCAGGAGGAAGAAAGCCAUUCCCUGACCAGGUUCAAUAUUGCCCCCAACAGGAGCAUCUCUGCAAUGCUGAAUAUCAUUAUUCACCCCUGGAGGAUGCAUCAUGUUGGGGAUUUCCAACUACUCUCCUAAAAGGAAGGCUUCACUGCAACAGUUUCAUCCCAUUAGGAACAUGGAAAAACAAGCAGCCACUUAUCUCUUUUGGCUUAAGCCGAAAGAACCUAAAUGAAGGAAAUAAACACAAAUUAAUCUGGUGAUACUUUUAGAAAAUGCACUAAUGACAUGAAUACUUUUGAGUUGUUGUCAUCAGCAUCACCAUCAUCACCAUCAUCAUCAUCAUCAUCAUUAUCAUCAUCAUCAUCCCAUGUAGUGCUUCCUGUGUGCUCAGCACUAUUCUAAGAGCCUACCCGUAUCAACCUAAAAAGAAGCCUUUGUGGUAGGUACUAUUAUUAUCUUUUGGGGGGAUAAAGAGGACAAGGAGAACAAGGAGGGAAGACUGGUUAUGAAACUUCUCCUAAUCACCUAGGUAGAAGGUGCUAGGGCUAGAAUUUGACCCCAGGCAUUUAGGUUUCAGAAUCAGCCCUCAGUUGUUACGUUUGAGUUUCAUGUUAUGAUGUUUUAUCUCUAGGUUUUUUAUUUUGUAUAACUUUGGGUGGGCAAACAUUCAUUUGAACUUCCCUAUUUUUUAACCCUUUACUGGGGCUUUGAAAUUAUUUUUUUAUUAACAAAAAGUUAUAGUUGCUACAAAAUUCCCAGAGCACCUAACUUUUGAGUUGUUCCAAGCCUUCAUUUAUUUCUGACUCAACUUUUUCCAAAUCAUCAUUCACAAAAUGAAUAAGGCUGAUCUUAUAAUAUUGCCAUGUUCAGCUCUCCAAAAAUAACCGUUGUGGCACAUGACCUAUCAUUUUUAUGGAUCCUGUUGAGUGAAGAGCUCAGUUGCUUGUACAGACCGUUUUAUUUUCCUUCUACUUUAAUAUUGUCUAUCAGCAAAUCAGGAGGCAGUAUUUCCUUUUGUGGUGUUGCUCAACAUAGAGGAUUUUACACUUGUAAAAUGCGCUUUCAUAUCUCAGCCCAAUGUGUAUUAUAAACAAAGCCAAUAAAAAUGUGCCAUGUUAUAAUUAUUUUCUAAAU